rnacentral:rRNA from 1 species
AUUGAACGCUGGCGGCAUGCCUUACACAUGCAAGUCGAACGGCAGCAUGGAGAGCUUGCUCUCUGAUGGCGAGUGGCGGACGGGUGAGUAAUGCAUCGGAACGUACCGUGUAAUGGGGGAUAACGUAGCGAAAGUUACGCUAAUACCGCAUACGACCUGAGGGUGAAAGCAGGGGAUCGCAAGACCUUGCGUUAUACGAGCGGCCGAUGUCAGAUUAGCUAGUUGGUGAGGUAAAGGCUCACCAAGGCGACGAUCUGUAGCGGGUCUGAGAGGAUGAUCCGCCACACUGGGACUGAGACACGGCCCAGACUCCUACGGGAGGCAGCAGUGGGGAAUUUUGGACAAUGGGGGCAACCCUGAUCCAGCCAUGCCGCGUGAGUGAAGAAGGCCUUCGGGUUGUAAAACUCUUUCGGCCGGGAAGAAAUCGCACAGGCUAAUACUCUGUGUGGAUGACGGUACCGGCAUAAGAAGCACCGGCUAACUACGUGCCAGCCGCCGCAGUAAAAC